UACGGAGGGUGCAAGCGUUAUCCGGAUUCACUGGGUUUAAAGGGUGCGUAGGUGGGUUGGUAAGUCAGUGGUGAAAUCUCCGUGCUUAACAUGGAAACUGCCAUUGAUACUACUGAUCUUGAAUUUUCAGGAGGUAAGCGGAAUAUGUCAUGUAGCGGUGAAAUGCUUAGAGAUCGGAAAGAACACCAACGGCGAAAGCACUCUGCUGGGCCGACACUGACACUGAGAGACGAAAGCUAGGGGAGCGAAUGGG
rnacentral:rRNA from 1 species